rnacentral:rRNA from 1 species
CACAAGCAGCGGAGCGUGUGGUUUAAUUCGAUGCUACACGAAGAACCUUACCAGGGUUUUGACAUGCAAGUGGUAGGAAACUGAAAAGGGACCGACCCUUCGGGGAGCUUGCACAGGUGCUGCAUGGCUGUCGUCAGCUCGUGUCGUGAGAUGUUCGGUUAAGUCCGCUAACGAGCGCAACCCUCACUGUGUGUUAUAUGUGUCACACGGGACUGCCGGUUUUAAGCCGGAGGAAGGUGGGGAUGACGUCAAGUCAGCAUGGCCUUUAUAUCCUGGGCUACACACACGCUACAAUGGUCGGUACAAUAGGUUGCCAAGCCGCGAGGCGGAGCCAAUCCAAAAAAGCCGGCCUCAGUUCAGAUUGUAGGCUGCAACUCGCCUGCAUGAAGAUGGAGUUGCUAGUAAUCGCGGAUCAGCAUGCCGUGGUGAAUGCGUUCCCGGGUCUU